rnacentral:tRNA from 1 species
AAGCAUGAAGCAUAAAUGCAAUUAGUUUCGACCUAAUCUUUUGAUUUAAUUAUCCUUGCUUU